AGGGUAAAGCGCAAUUUCCUACGGGGAGGCAGCAGUAGGGAAUCUUCCGCAAUGGACGAAAGUCUGACGGAGCAACGCCGCGUGAGUGAUGAAGGCUUUCGGGUCGUAAAACUCUGUUGUUAGGGAAGAACAAGUGCUAGUUGAAUAAGCUGGCACCUUGACGGUACCUAACCAGAAAGCCACGGCUAACUACGUGCCAGCAGCCGCGGUAAUACGUAGGUGGCAAGCGUUAUCCGGAAUUAUUGGGCGUAAAGCGCGCGCAGGUGGUUUCUUAAGUCUGAUGUGAAAGCCCACGGCUCAACCGUGGAGGGUCAUUGGAAACUGGGAGACUUGAGUGCAGAAGAGGAAAGUGGAAUUCCAUGUGUAGCGGUGAAAUGCGUAGAGAUAUGGAGGAACACCAGUGGCGAAGGCGACUUUCUGGUCUGUAACUGACACUGAGGCGCGAAAGCGUGGGGAGCAAACAGGAUUAGAUACCCUGGUAGUCCACGCCGUAAACGAUGAGUGCUAAGUGUUAGAGGGUUUCCGCCCUUUAGUGCUGAAGUUAACGCAUUAAGCAUCGCCUGGGAGACCGCACGCUGAAAU
rnacentral:rRNA from 1 species